UGAAUCUAAAACUUAACUUA
rnacentral:rRNA from 1 species